rnacentral:rRNA from 1 species
UACGUAGGUGGCAAGCGUUGUCCGGAAUUAUUGGGCGUAAAGCGCGCGCAGGUGGUUCCUUAAGUCUGAUGUGAAGGCCCACGGCUCAACCGUGGAGGGUCAUUGGAAACUGGGGAACUUGAGUGCAGAAGAGGAAAGUGGAAUUCCAAGUGUAGCGGUGAAAUGCGUAGAGAUUUGGAGGAACACCAGUGGCGAAGGCGACUUUCUGGUCUGUAACUGACACUGAGGCGCGAAAGCGUGGGGAGCAAACAGG